AUCCCAUGUACGUUUACUUUUAUUUCACUCUGGAUUUUCUUUGUGUGGUUAUCGCAAGAUUGUGGAGAUGUAACAAACUCUAUCAGAUGUAAAGAUAUAGAUAUACAGA